UACGUAGGGUGCGAGCGUUAAUCGGAAUUACUGGGCGUAAAGCGUGCGCAGGCGGUUUUGUAAGCCAGAUGUGAAAUCCCCGGGCUCAACCUGGGAAUGGCAUUUGGGACUGCAAGGCUGGAGUGCGGCAGAGGAGACUGGAAUUCCUGGUGUAGCAGUGAAAUGCGUAGAUAUCAGGAGGAAUACCGAUGGCGAAGGCAGGUCUCCGG
rnacentral:rRNA from 1 species